CGGAGUGGGAUGAAUCGGACGGCGAGCAAGUUAUUUCGCGCGAAAUGUGCAUUGGCCGAAUUUGGCCUCGUGAUUUUUUUUCUCAUCUCUCCCCUUUUCUUCCUUUUUCCCCUCUUCCCGCUCCUCUUCCCCUCUUUCGUGCAUCUUGCACGUAUGUCCCUCUUCUCGUCACAGGGGUUCGCUACGCGUUUGCCUAUCUUAUCGCUCGUCGCACGACGCUUUCCGUCUGUUAUAGUUUUAUCGAACGGACCUUUGAAUACUUUAUGACGGUACGAGGUAUCAAUCAUCGAUAUGAAGAAGCAACGCGUGGGUGGGACGCGUGUUCCAUCGCCGUGCGAAAUUAGGCGGCUCAUUGACAUCCGGCCAAAGUCGCGGCCGACGUUUCCUUUGUACGAGAAUGGUUCAGGGCCACGAGGAUUUGACUUUAAGGAACUGCCAGGGAAACGAGAAAUCGUAAGAUUUUCUCUCUUUCUCUUUCUUACACGUUGGAACGGCACAAGAUGCUCGUGAAUUGUAGAAGGGAAAGUGGCUAUUAGCGGGACUUCGCGACUGAUUCCGAGGGAAAUCCAAGAAACAAAGAACCCGGUGGUCUCGUUGGUUUCACUUUUGUCGAAAUCACUGCCAGACCGUGGGCCGAAACCGUGAAAGCAAUCCCGAGGAAACUACGACCAACUUUAUUGCAACGACCACGUGGCACACCGUGGACAAUGAUACUGCAUAAGAAGUUAUUACGAACAAAUGGUACCGGUGUGCACAGCUAUAAUUAUCGUCCAUGAAACGACGAUUCCCGGUAAUAACGUUCCGGAAAGGUGUACGUUGAUGUCUCAGGUAUUAAUCGCGCCAGGUUACAAUGUUGUGCGAUAUUAUCGCGGAAAUGAUUGCGCGUGAAACACGGCUACUAAAUUAAAACCCGUCCUUGCCCGAGUACCGUGUUUUUUCGCGGGACAAUCGCGCGCGCUGCAAUGAAUCAAACUAAUUAAAUCAUUCGCCUACGCGGCACAAUCAUCUCGCUUUAAAUCGCCACUCGCUCGAUGCUCGCUCACAAAUAAGAUUUCUGGCGUUCGUUUUUUCAAACGCGACCAAAAGGGGUUUCGGAAGGCGAAAAUCUUACGUUUUGUUCCUCUUCUUUUCAUCGAAUCGCAGUAGUCGAACGUGUCUUCAAGCCCAUCGUCUCUGAUUCUUGAUACAUACAUAAAAACUGCGUGUAUAAGCCGAACGUGUUUGAAGAACGUAAAUUACGUAAUUUGGGUACAUAUUGUUUUGUUUCUUCUAAAAUAAGUCUAUUUCUCGGCCGCGAUUUAGGUAUUAAACAAGUACACACUACUACGUAUUGUUUUUGCUAAAGUGUAAUGGAUACUUUACAAAAAUCCACCGCGUAAAUUAAGGAGGAAAGAAAAUAAUUGUAAAAAAUAAGGAUGAAAAAGUUAUUAGACAAAUCUCUGGGUUUGCCCCUGGCAACCACAGUGUAAAUUGACUGGAAAAAAAUUUGCCAACGAAACUGUGUUAACGUAACGUUGGUCCUUAAUGAGUUAAUGCAAGAGCGAGAUUUCACCGGACGAGAAGGAUAAUCUUCGCUGGUUUUUGGGUCACUCGGCGAAGGGACGUCCAAAAUUGAAAGUACUCGGUCGAGGAGCAAGCCUAGCUGCUUAGGUUAGGUUAGGUUACUCCGGUUCGCCUGUAUGUGUCGCUCGUCUGGCCACGUGUAUCUUUUAGUCCGGAUCGUUUCGUUUAGGCUCCGUUCCGCGAGUUUUUUCACUGCACGAACGAGCCAGCAAACCGGGAACUCUUUUGCUUGCCCCUUGAAACCGAAUUUAGAGCGUGUAGUAGUAGUGAAAAGGAGUAUAGUUGCGCCGGUUGUCCAGAGUGGAAAAAAGAGAGGUAGGAAGGGGACGGAAGAUGAGAAAGAAGGAGAGGAAGAAGAGGAAGAAGAAGAAGUAGAAGAGGAAGGAAGAAGGCGUUUCACAGCCGCGAAACUUGCGGCCGAACGGCCAGCAUAGAAGAUUCGUUAUGCGCCAUGCCGCACGAAAGAUACGCUCGUACGACGAAACGAAGGAAAAUUAUGAGCGCGCGCUAACGUCGAGUAAUAUUUAAUGCGGCAGAAAAUUCUGCCUCGGCCCAACCUCGCUAAAUAUUCGUGAUUUCUCUCCGUUCUUUCUGCCUGAUUUUUUUUCUUUUCGUCAUUCUUUCUUUCCUCUUUUUCUUCAUUUCCCCUUCUUCCAUUUUUCUGGCGCUCGUCGGUGUACCAGAAGGGUCGCGUUUUCCUAAUUAAUGGCAUUAAUGCGUUUUAACAAAGGCAAUUAAUAUCCGUGGUUCGGCAAACAAACGCGUGGUGGUCGGUGGUCAGUCGUUGCCGCGGCGUUCACGAUGGCAUCGCGGAGGCACCCGUUCGAAACGAGCACGGGUUUGAAGAGUAAAUUAUGACGGGCCAGACGAUUGACGUGUUGUGAUAAUUAACACGUAAUAAUAUACCGUUAAUAUUCUUUUGCAAUUGCAUAUCCUGCAAUAUUCAUGGAUUUUUUUACUUCGUUCCAGCACUGGUUGCAUAAUACCGCUCAUUAAGCCCGCAAUCAGAUUGAACCGCGUUGGCCAGCGCCCGUGGCUGCCCGCGUUUAUGUAUUCCAACAUUGUGUCUAUUUUCGCGCGCAUUCAUAAGGGCACGCGAGCGCGCGAACGCGAGCCCACUAAUACCGAUUAAAGUGAUGGUCUCGCGCGAAUUACCCGACUCCUCUCUCUCUCUCUCUCUCUCUCUGUAUCCGUUACAAUCUCUCUCUCUCUCUCUCUUUCACUUCGAUUUUCUUUACAUCGUCCCUCGAAACUACCCGACUCGCAAUCAUUUCAUCGUAUCGCUACGCAACGUCAGGAUCGGUGAUUUCGAGGAAACCAAAACUAUCCGCGGUACUCCAAUAAGACCGAUGACACUGUUCCUCGAUCCACGCGUUCCUGGAUAUACACUCCAGGCCACGUCUUUCAUUCACGCGACCGGCAGGCGUCACCUAGAACCAAUAAAGACAGCAUCGAAACGAAACGCCAAGAAUGUGACGCGCUGCACGUAUCGUAUCCCCCUCCCGGUGUCCCUUUCCGUUCCACCUUUUGCUCUCUCCAUUCGCCACGGUCUGCUUUUAUUCCGUAGCAGCGCGAAAGAAAUCCGAAGGCAUAAUAAUUAAAUCGCAUCGGGGUAAACGAUCAAGCGUUCGUCCGAGGAAGGCAACUCUCUUCGUGGCGAUGGGGGGACACGAAGGGGGAUAACACGAAAGAGGGGAUGCGAAGAAACAGAGCGAGAGGAAGGGAUCGAAGAGCACGGGCAAGUCGACGUAAGUCGGAAAGAGAUAAAGAAAGAGAGAGAGAGAGAGAGAGACGGCUGUCGUGGCUUCGUGUGCAUAAUUGCCGUGAUUAUGGGUGUGUCAGUUCGGCCCGUCUAGGUGCAUACACGCAUUCGGCUCUAGAUGCAGCUGAUCCGGGUGCGUGUAACGGCGCAGCAGCAGCGACGCAGCGGAAACGUUGGCAACCGCGCAACGGCGCAGACCGAUGCGCAGCAUCAUUAUCUGGAGCGCUGCUUAGCGAAGAGCAUCAUCCAUGUUGCUCGUUAACUCGCGUGCAUCUCAUAUGAAUAAACUUCUUUAAUUAUCGCGAGGCGGUCGCUCCGGGGAAACCACCGCCUCGUCUCGAACGCUACCUCCAACCCCUUCUCCACACCGCCUGCAACGUUUCAACGAAUUUCUUUCGACGAUCAUCGAGCGACCGACUCUUUACUUUAAUCCUUCCCGAACCCUCCGUCAUUUCGUUACCAACGCUUCAUGCACUUUGCUCAGACUUUUGGCUCUAUUCGUUCCUCUUUGUGGUUGCCUGGAGCUGUUCGGAGCAACGUUACACAAGCAGUUUGGUUGUGCACCCGCGCAUGCGCACAUCCACUGGCGCUCCGCGUCAGUAACGCGGUAAAAAUUGAAACGUUGCAUCAGGAUUGUUAUCGUUAUCGUAUAAUGAAACGAAGCUCCGACAAGAUCUUAUCGAGUUCUGCUUUAAUUAAGAAACCUAAAAAUCAACAGAAGUAAGUACAAUACUUCGCGACCCUUUCGCACUCAGGAACUGUGGCGAGCUACGUGGUGUUUACAUAUCGAAAAAAAUCAUCGCGGUUAUUCCCUUGGGGGUAACGAGCGCACGCGGUUCGCCAAUUUGGCAGGGUUGUUUGCAGCGUGGCGCGAAACUGCGCCGGGUCUGCUGAUUUACGAUAACAGCGAGGAACGGCGUGUAAAAUGCCGGGGAAAUUUGGCCUCGACAAGAAAAUAACGUCUUAAACGCGUCGUUGCUCCAAUUUCCAUGGGCGAGUGGCGCAGUUUGGUGCAGUCCGACGAACAGGCAACGGUAGAAAAAAGGGAAGAAGGAGGGAAAGAGAAGAAAAAUCGGGAGGCAAGCGUAUAACACGUUUAUGCAUUUCCCUGCUAGUAAUACGCCGAAAUCGAUAGCAGUAAUUACGUAGAAAGCUCUGCGUGUCGUCGAUAUGACUUACUGCGGCAAACGCCGCUACUUUUGCCACGGAUCGGACAACCGUUCUGAUUGUCGGAAUUAUUUCGCGCGAAAACGAACCACGGUUUGAUUACCAGACAUUUUCUCUAAUGAUCGUGUGUGCAUUGCGUCGCGUCGCGCGUUAUACCAGUGCCAGGCUAUACCUUCGUGGAACUUGCGUAACUUCGGCAAUUACAAAUCUUCUAUCAUAAUCAUUAUCGUGAUUAUCACAUGCCGUCGUCUUGAUACCGCAUACGCGUUCGUCGUACACGCACGCCACUUGUCCCUUUCCGAGAGACACGUUCACACUUUCACAUUUUUCAACGGGCGGUCGCAGAUAAGGUGGGACGAAAACCGAGAUUUAAAAAUAAUAUGUAAAGCGAAAUGAUCGGUGUUACGCGACAUUCGUGAUCUCGAAGCACGUCGACGACGACGUUUAAAUGAUUCUCGAGCCAUUUUAAACGCGAGCGUUCAUUAGACGACGGUAAAGAACGAGGUACGUACACUCAGUUAAGCAUAUUCUACGCGUAGUCGAGUAUCAGAAAUUCGAGAUAUCGCGAAAAUCUCUCGAGAUCCGUGAACGUGAAAAUAUAGUUUAUCGUCGAUAAAUCGUUCGAACGGUCGGCGGUAUCGUUAUUCGCAACUUUCUUCCCGUGAAAACGCGAACGAACGUCCGAUGAUAUAGAGGAGAAAGAAACGCGAGGCCGCGAGAUAGCAGCGUCGAUUAAUCGUGCGGAAUUAAAGUUUUCCCUACGAAUUAUCUCGCACUAAACACACGUUACUCGAUUUCAUACCGGAUAAUCGAUCUCUCCUUCGAUUAAUCCAGUUUCCUCGCUCCACCAUCGAUCCUUGAUGUCCGAUCGGUGCAGGCCAACACUCGCGUCGAUUGACACGCGGCGUGGCACGAUCGAGCCCAACGCAUUGAUCGAACGUAGAUCGCGCUCGUUAACUCCGUUAUUGCUAAUCGGCCGAUCGGAUCGGCGUGAUCGACGCAGAUGAGUUACGAAGUUAAGUCCACCGCUGCGGGCAUCGCAGGAUCGUGCACACACGCAGGAGCAUCGUCGAUCAGUUCUUUUUUGCGACCCUGGAUUGCAGCAGGCUGCGACCUCGAGAGAAAAAGUGACUGGAGCAUAAUUUAAAACGGCGAAAAGAGAUCACGAGAUUCCAUGAUCUCCCAAUUAAUUCGCCGGUUAUCUCGGAGAGACCGAGCUAGGAAAAAGCAAGACGAAAACGAGAGGAAGACAGGAUGUUUCGGCUGACAGAUAACGCGAUCGCUGCUACGACUUUCUAAUCGCGUUCUCGUGGACAGGGUUGGCAACCGUGGAGAUCCUUGCUCCCGGCCAGAUCCCGGAUCUUAUCACGUAGCGGUGUGUCGACGGUAUCGCGUUGACGAGCCAAAAAAUAUAGUCGAUAUAGAGAGGCAGCGAGACGCACGCGGGGAGAUCGAUCGUAACGGGCGUGCACCGUUUCGCGGUCGAUCGUCGAAGGGCGGGAAAGCCUGUUUCGAAAAGGCUGUCACUCAGUUUACGCGAUCAGGAGUUCGAAACCGGUUCCAACGGGCGUUCUGGGUUCGGUUCUGGCCGCGGAGAUCGAACGCACACUGGCAACAGCAACACCGGCAGCACCAACAGCAGCAUCUCUGGCGUAACGGAAGCCGCAAUAGCCGCAUGGAUUCUUGUUUUCGCGUUGCUUCUCCAUUUUUUCUCUCUCGUUCUCUCUAUCACGGUACGCGUUCGGUUCUCCUCCGUUUAUAUCUUUCCCUCUCUGUUCGACUCUGCCGCUUCUCUCCUCUCUCUUUUUCUCCCUACCCCAUCUCUUUCGUUCUUCUUUUCCCCUCCCCCUCCCGUUUUUCCUAUUUUUUCCUAUAUUUUUUCUUCUCUUUCUGUUUCCUCUUUUUUUUUUUAUUAUUAUUUUUCCUCGUGUUGCUUCCCUUUGCGCGCAAGCUCGUGCAUAUACGCAUCGGCGGGCGUAGCUCUGCUGCCCGCUCCCUGAUAAAAUCCCACAAAAAUCGAGAAGCCGUUAGCUCUCCGGCUAGCUAUGGUAACCGAGAGGUGGAACCGGUGCUCAAUAUAGAUUCAGGGAGCAGCCUUUACACGGAGUGCAUUCGACGGGAGUCGUUGUUAAUGCUAAAUGAAUUUUAAUCCUCGAUUUUUGGACGUUCGACGGAACGCCCUUUCGACCCACCUCGAUCUCAUCCUCCUCCUCCUCCUCCUCCCUUCUGCCCCUCCGCCUCUUUUCUCUCCUUCUCUCUUCGCCACGAUGCCCUUCCACCCUCCCCCUCCCCCUCCACCCACUAUUUUGGAUCCGAUAGAACCCUGGGAUAUGCGAGUAAUUAAAAUAUUAACUAAUCUGCAAUUCCGGAUGGAAAAUCGUGCACAGUGCAUGAACGACCCUGGUGAGUCGAUUGAAUAUUCUUGAUACAUAUUUCGCGGACCUGUCGAUUUCGCAUCUGAUUACCAGGUGCCAGGAUGUUUUAUGUAUAGCAGUUUCCUGUAUAGGGUGUUGCGUUCAAAGCAUCGCAGUUUAACCCCUCGCCAUACGAUUUGUUUAAUAGCUAUUUAAGUAGGUUUAAUAGCUAUUUGAACAAGCUAUUCGGUGUUAUUACAUCGUGUUAAAUAAAGAAUAUUGAAGCAUUAUACAGAAGUUAUGUUUAAUAACUCUUGGCUUCGAGAAGUGGAGUUCAAAUUAUAUUUCACGCUGAUUUUUCUUUUAUUUACACCUUAUCCGUGUUAAAUUGAAAACAUAAUUUGUACUACGAAUUUCGUUAGACAUUACAAUACACAGACACGCACAGGUACAUGUAUUUACGCAAGCAACUAAUAUACUGUAAAACAAAAUUAUCGAAUUACAAUGUUUAAUAAAAGUAUUACUAGUUGUUUACCAAUUACUUUACUAAAUUUUUAUUACCACGAUGCUCGAGCGACGGAUCUUAAAUUUUAAACGCUUACUCUACUCUCAGUUACUCCAUAUCGAUUUCUACGUACGGGAUUAAAUUGAGUAUCGAAACGAAUAUGGAGCAAUGCUGAGCGUGCCGUCAUAUUAUAUUAUUGUGAGUCACCGUGUAUAUUAUAUGUAUAAUCACUCAGCAGCAGUAGUCCGUAACACUUUUAAUUUCCCAGCUUGUAUAUGUAAUAAUAGGUUCAAGGGUUUGACGACGCCGAAAAAAGAGCAAACGGACGUGGUUUCCUGGCGGGGAUCGUCUCAAGGGGGCGGCACCGCGCCGCGGCGUGGGUAUUUUUUUUUAACACGCGCGUCAAUUUCGUUUCGCGCAAAUUUUUUCGCCGCUGUACGUACGCGUCGGGCGCGCGUAGUACAUGUACGUACGCGGCAGAGAGACGAGGCAAGUUCGACACGGCAACGGGAGAGAAUGCAUAAGCACGAGGCACGAGUCCAGGCAAGUCGGUUGUGCUCUACGCUUAAACGCGAAAGAAGAGGGCUGCCAAUAGUUGGUUCGCCGGUACAUUCCCGCUCUACAAAGUUAAUUACGUGGCUGACGCUCGUUAGCGAAAAAAUCCAAAGGCGAUAAAUCAUAGUGAUAACUGAAAUACAUUUCUGCUCUGCUAAGCUGGUGGCCGUGGCCGCUGCUCAACGAGAAUCGAGAAGAAAGAGGAGAAAGGAUGAAACGGGAGAAAAAAAAGAAUAGGAAGAAGAAGAAGAAGAAGAGGAGGAAGAGGAGGAAGGUAAAAACGUACGAAGAGCAAAGAAGCAACACCGCCAAUUACUUUCCAACCGACUACUCGAUAAUAUCGUCCCGCGAGCACCGAUACACAACGACCAUUAAUAUUCUAAACGCAAGCCCCGUGUACGCAGCUCGUGUUCUCGAUCCACGCUCGGAUCUGUCUUGGAACGUAAAGCAGAUCCGGCCGGCACGAAUCGUUCGUGUACCACCGGAAAGCCCCCGAGUUAUAACAGUUUACUACGCGGACGAACCACUGGAUUCGAGAUAGUUAGACGCGCGAGCCUAACAAUUUGCGCGCGAUAUCAUAGAUGCCACGCCGGACCACCGUUACAUCCCGUGCUUUACCUACGAUCGCGCUUUUUUAUGUCAUCCUUGGCCGGUCUUUAGAGAAUUGAACGAUUCCCGUUGAACAACCUUCGUCGUCGUGAAUUCUCCAUUUGAUAAGGUAACGAAGGGAAAUACAUGCAAUUAUCGUAGUCUUGGGAAAGCGACGAUGCAACUUUGCAUCGGAGAAGCGUACGUUUUCAGACGCCAGACAACGGGAAAGUUGGUACAAACGAUUCUGAUAUUUGAAAACAUACAGAUUUUCGUAAUAAAGUUUCACUUUACCGGCAAUUUUCCAACUUAGAGACUUUGUCACCCGUACAAAUAUAAUAAAAUUACAAAAUGAUUUGGAGCGUGGCUCGUUAAAUCUACAUCGACCACGACAAAACAUCCGAUGCAACUGGCAAGCAAGGCAUGCCAAAUUAAUCAUGAAAGCCCAGGAAUCUGGCGUAACAAAUUCAAAUACAAAAACACGUAUAUCAAUUACACGAUCGAGGCAUAGGCUAACGAAGUCAGUGACGAGGAUACGAAGGUACGAAAAAUAUCGCCAGAGAGAGACGAAGGGUUAAAGCGGAAAGAGAGAAGGGAGAGAGAGAGAGAGAGAAAGAGGUGCGGCGAAAGACGAAUAAAGUGACAGAGAGGGCUAAAAGAGAGGGGAGAGGAGAGUGACGUUUCGUGAGAUAAAGGUGAAGGGAGAGAGGGGUGGCAGAGAAGAUAUUCUUGGCAGCGACUGCGAUGCAACAACUGUCCCCAUCCGUCAUCUACGGAGGCAGCGAGAGAGGCCCACGACCACUCGAUGCGUCCCUCGCCGUGCUCUUCAAAUCACGAGAGGGGAAAACUUCUCGUAAUCAUCAAGAUCUCGACUAACGACACCGACAGUCGACUCAUUACGUCGUUAUCGUCGAAAGAAUCUCCGUGGAUCCGCGAGGAAACGGCCCAAACUGUUCGUUUUUCAAAAGUCUUCGAAAUAUUCCGACUCAUUUCACUUUAUGAUAUUAGAUUUCCUUUAUUACACGGUGUAAAAGACAUAGUUCGUUGCAAGAAUAAAAGCUAGAGACGCGUU